CCUCAGUCCAUCCCCAUUGAGGAACCCGAGGCCCUGGGAGGUCGGCUGAGGGUCCCCAGCGGGAACAGGGUGGGUUAGAGUCUGGCCCUGGGGCUCUCUGCUUUUACUGAGUCACUGCUAAUCAGCUCCCGGGUGAACUUCCCGGAAGGGCUGGUUAGAGCAGGUGCCCGUCCCCAGGACCCCAAGUUGACUCGCACCUUGGUCCAAUAGAUCCUGCUUUUCCCCCGGAGAACGCGGUCACCCAGCGAGGAUCCUCGCGCUCUGCCUCGUCCUCAGAGAGCCACAGCUGUCCCUGGGGGACCCUCGUUGUGAUACCCAGUUACGGGCUCGCGGGUGCCCUUUGCCUGCCUGUUUCUUCUCAGUGAGAUCCGCGCUUAACCUUCCCCGCCCGCUUAUCCCAAAGAGAAUGACUGGUGGGUAAGAAAGCAGACAAAUGUCCCCCCUCUGUGUCCCUGGAACAGGGAAUUAGUGGGCAGUGGCCUGCUGUCCCUCCAGGGGGAAUCCCAAGUGACCAUCAGUGUUCUCAGAGUCGCACGUCAUGGGUGGUGCAGCGAAGCUGAUUCAAACUCUCCCUGUCCCAAACCAGCCCCGCCUCGUGAGCUGCCGAGGGACAUUGGAAUAAAUCAGGGCACACAAUCAUGGGCAAUUAGGGGGAGCGGGGCCGGGCUGCAAAGACGAGCCCUGUUUUCGCUGAAGUAAAUCCAUCUCUGGUCGGGAACGGCCCGGGGAAGCAGCGUGACAUGCAAUUAUCUGACUUAGCGGUGGCUUACGCUUCCAUCUCCCAUUAUCAUAAUUUCUCAAAACAUACAUAAAUAGGCCUUUUUUCACUAACUCAACUGCAGUUCUACCACAAGGCCGCUACGUCUAAGUGAAACUCGGCAAGACCCACUCCAAUUCCAAGGCGGGUACGGACUGUGCUGGGGAUCCUGGCUUAACCCUGGGCACCCCGGUCGCCCUUGGGAGCUGAGAAGUUGGGUCACAGUCCCUAGGGUGACCGCAGAGUCUUUUUCUCCUGAAACACAAGCUUUGGCCAAACCAUGUGGCCGCCCGCGCUCCAGCGCUGCUUUCCGGAGCCUUCCAACUCCCAGGCUGCAGCCCUGCCGCCUGCUCUGCACGGUCUCCCUGAAGCCGGGCCUGUGGCGCCCCGGGCUGGACUCUGACACCCUCCGAGCCUGGCUUCCCCAACCAGCCUCCCCCAGGAAGUGCCGGAGGAAGACGCUCCUGGUUAAGCUUCAGUCUCGCUGGAGACACAGAAACGCAGCAAGGAGUUGGGUUUCACUGUCACGGGAGCCACCAGGCAGCACAGCCACUGGCUCUGCAAGGCGGGUGGGACCCGAGGCGUCCUGCUACGUGGCCACCAAGGGGCGCGCAGCAGAGGAGGCCAGGCGUGGAGGUGUUGGGAGAAACACCUCCACCAGCUAAAGGCCUGGGGACUUAGAGGCCUGGCUGGGUGGCCCAGGCAGACAUUGAGCCCCAAAGUGGGCCCUGUGUCCACCUGCCUGGAAGGAACCUCCAACAGGCCGAGGCCAGGGACCAGGAAGGCCAUGGAGCCUCUGGGAGCUCUGGAAAGACAUGUGGCUGGGGACACCUUGCAGACUGGUGAGUCCUCCUGAAACAUGGCGGCACACCGAGCUCCUGCCUGCACAUAUUCACACACACACACUCGCACACACACACGUAUGUCUUACCAUUGCUUGUGUGGUAGUUCGUGUGCUCACUUUCCUCUCUCUCUCUCUCUCUCUCUCUCUCUCUCUCUCUCUGGUACCAGGGAUGGAACCCAGAGGUACUUUGCCACUGAACCACAUCCCAGUCCUUUUAUUUUUUAUUUUGAGGCUGGGUCUUGCCAAGUUUUAGGGCCUUGCUGAAUUGCUGAGGCUGGCCUGGAACUUGAGAUCCUCCUGCCUCAGCCUCCCGAGUGGAGGGUCAUCGGUCCAUUUUCUGCAAGCAUUUUCAGACCCCUCUCAGGCACUGAGCUCUGUCCCAGGGAAAGGGGAUGAACGAAGGUACCAGCCCGUGCACAGGAGCCCCGGUCUCUUGGAGGGCAGCUGGGGAGAUGCAGACUCGGGGGGGGAGGGAAGGGAGACACCCCCAAGCCUGGCUUGGCACUGUGGCCCCUGCCCACUCUUCCCUCCCUGCGGAACCCUGAGGACCACGCCCCUGCACACAGUAGGGAGAACUGCAAA
rnacentral:lncRNA from 1 species